UACGGAAGGCAGCAGUGGGGAAUAUUGCACAAUGGGCGCAAGCCUGAUGCAGCCAUGCCGCGUGUAUGAAGAAGGCCUUCGGGUUGUAAAGUACUUUCAGUCGUGAGGAAGGUGUUAAGGUUAAUAACCUUAGCAAUUGACGUUAGCGACAGAAGAAGCACCGGCUAACUCCGUGCCAGCAGCCGCGGUAAUACGGAGGGUGCGAGCGUUAAUCGGAAUUACUGGGCGUAAAGGGCACGCAGGCGGUUAAUUAAGUUGGAUGUGAAAUCCCCGGGCUUAACCUGGGAAUGGCAUUCAAGACUGGUUAGCUAGAGUCUUGUAGAGGGGGUAGAAUUCCGAUGUGUAGCGGUGAAAUGCGUAGAGAUGUGGAGGAAUACCGGGUGGCGAAGGCGGCCCCUGGGACAAAGGCUGACGCUCGAUGUGCGAAAGCGUGGGGAGCGAAACAGGGAUUAGAUACC
rnacentral:rRNA from 1 species